rnacentral:piRNA from 1 species
GUCUGGUCCUCCACCUCAGGUCACAGU